AGUACGGGGUGUUAGGGCCGACACCGGAGAGGGAGCCUGAGAAACGGCUACCACAUCCAAGGAUGGCAGCAGGCGCGCAAAUUACCCAAUCCCGACACGGGGAGGUAGUGACAAUAAAUAACAAUACGGGGUUCUUUAGGAUCCCGUAAUUGGAAUGAGUACAAUUUAAAUCUCUUAACGAGGAACAAUUGGAGGGCAAGUCUGGUGCCAGCAGCCGCGGUAAUUCCAGCUCCAAUAGCGUAUAUUAAAGUUGUUGCAGUUAAAAAGCUCGUAGUUGAAUUUCGGGGUUAGUAGGUUGGUCAUGCCUCUGGUAUGUACUGGUCUCACUGAUUCCUCCUUCCUGAUGAACCUUAAUGCCAUUAAUUUGGUGUUUUGGGGAAUUUGGACUGUUACUUUGAAAAAAUUAGAGUGUUUAAAGCAGGCUCACGCUUGAAUACAUUAGCAUGGAAUAAUGAAAUAGGACGUUUGAUUCUAUUUUGUUGGUUUCUAGGAUCGACGUAAUGAUUAAUAGGGAUAGUUGGGGGCAUUAGUAUUCAAUUGUCAGAGGUGAAAUUCUUGGAUUUAUUGAAGACUAACUACUGCGAAAGCAUUUGCCAAGGAUGUUUUCAUUAAUCAAGAACGAAAGUUAGGGGAUCGAAGACGAUCAGAUACCGUCGUAGUCUUAACCAUAAACUAUGCCGACUAGGGAUCGGAUGAU
rnacentral:rRNA from 1 species